rnacentral:rRNA from 1 species
AUUGAACGCUAGCGGGAUGCUUUACACAUGCAAGUCGAACGAGUGGCGGACGGGUGAGUAAUAUCUCGGAACGUGCCCAGUAGCGGGGGAUAACUACUCGAAAGUGUGGCUAAUACCGCAUACUAUCGGAGUGGCCGAUAUCGGAUUAGCUAGUUGGUGGGGUAAAGGCUCACCAGGGCAACGAUCCGUAGCUGGUUUGAGAGGAUGACCAGCCACACUGGGACUGAGACACGGCCCAGACUCCUACGGGAGGCAGCAGUGGGGAAUGUUGGACAAUGGGGGAAACCCUGAUCCAGCCAUCCCGCGUGUAUGAGAAGGCCUUCGGGUUGUAAAGUACUUUUGGCAGGGAAGCGGUAUCUGCAGAAUAAGCACCGGCUAACUACGUGCCAGCCGCCGCGGUAAUUC